GUGGGGAAUAUUGGGCAAUGGGCGCAAGCCUGACCCAGCAACGCCGCGUGAGGGAAGAAGGUUUUCGGAUUGUAAACCUCUGUCGCAAGGGACGAAGAAGUGACGGUACCUUGUGAGGAAGCCCCGGCUAACUACGUGCCAGCAGCCGCGGUAAUACGUAGGGGGCGAGCGUUGUCCGGAAUUACUGGGCGUAAAGGGUGCGUAGGCGGCUAAUUAAGUUGGAUGUGAAAUACCCGGGCUUAACUUGGGGGGUGCAUUCAAAACUGGUUAGCUGGAGUUCAGGAGAGGGAAGCGGAAUUCCUAGUGUAGCGGUGAAAUGCGUAGAUAUUAGGAGGAACACCAGUGGCGAAGGCGGCUUUCUGGACUGACACUGACGCUGAUGCACGAAAGCGUGGGGAGCAAACAGGAUUAGAUACCCGUGUAGUCC
rnacentral:rRNA from 1 species